UUAUGACCUGGGUUACACACGUGCUCCAAUGGUUGGUACCCCCGGAUCCUACUUCGCGCGAAGAUAAUCUCUUAAAACCAAUCUCAGUUCGGAUUGUAGGCUGCAACUCCCUACAUGAAGUCGGCGCUAGUAAUCGCGGAUCAGCAUGCCGCGGUGAAUACGUUGGCCUUGUACACACCGCCCGUCACACCACGGGAGUUUGCAACACCCGAAGUC
rnacentral:rRNA from 1 species